AACGAACGCUGGCGGCGUGCUUAACACAUGCAAGUCGAACGCGAAAGUCCCUUCGGGGGCGAGUAGAGUGGCGCACGGGUGAGUAACGCGUAGGAACGUACCUAAUGGUGGGGAAUAACCUCGGGAAACCGUGGCUAAUACCGCAUGAUAUCGCGAGAUCAAAGGAGGCCUCUGCUUGCAAGCUUCCGCCGUUAGAGCGGCCUACGUCCUAUUAGCUAGUUGGUAGGGUAAAAGCUUACCAAGGCAAUGAUGGGUAACUGGUCUGAGAGGAUGAUCAGUCACACUGGAACUGAGACACGGCCCAGACUCCUACGGGAGGCAGCAGUGGGGAAUCUUGCACAAUGGGCGAAAGCCUGAUGCAGCAACGCCGCGUGGUGAAGAAGGUCUUCGGAUUGUAAAGCCCUUUCGGCUGGGAAGAAGGGCGAAGUAGCUAAUACCUACCUCGUCUGACGGUACCAGAAGAAGAAGCACCGGCUAAUUCCGUGCCAGCAGCCGCGGUAAUACGG
rnacentral:rRNA from 1 species